UACGGAAGGCAGCAGUGGGGAAUAUUGCACAAUGGGCGCAAGCCUGAUGCAGCCAUGCCGCGUGUAUGAAGAAGGCCUUCGGGUUGUAAAGUACUUUCAGUCGUGAGGAAGGUGUUAAGGUUAAUAACCUUAGCAAUUGACGUUAGCGACAGAAGAAGCACCGGCUAACUCCGUGCCAGCAGCCGCGGUAAUACGGAGGGUGCGAGCGUUAAUCGGAAUUACUGGGCGUAAAGGGCACGCAGGCGGUUAAUUAAGUUGGAUGUGAAAUCCCCGGGCUUAACCUGGGAAUGGCAUUCAAGACUGGUUAGCUAGAGUCUUGUAGAGGGGGUAGAAUUCCAUGUGUAGCGGUGAAAUGCGUAGAGAUGUGGAGGAAUACCGGUGGCGAAGGCGGCCCCUGGACAAAGACUGACGCUCAUGUGCGAAAGCGUGGGGAGCAAACGAGAUUAGACU
rnacentral:rRNA from 1 species